rnacentral:rRNA from 1 species
UAAGGAAUAUUGGUCAAUGGGCGGAAGCCUGAACCAGCCAUGCCGCGUGCAGGAAGACGGCCCUACGGGUUGUAAACUGCUUUUGUACGGGAAUAAACCCCUCUACGUGUAGAGGGCUGAAUGUACUGUAAGAAUAAGGAUCGGCUAACUCCGUGCCAGCAGCCGCGGUAAUACGGAGGAUCCAAGCGUUAUCCGGAUUUAUUGGGUUUAAAGGGUGCGUAGGCGGUUUAUUAAGUCAGGGGUGAAAGACGGCAGCUUAACUGUCGCAGUGCCUUUGAUACUGAUGAACUUGAAUGUACUAGAAGUAGGCGGAAUGUGACAAGUAGCGGUGAAAUGCAUAGAUAUGUCACAGAACACCGAUUGCGAAGGCAGCUUACUAUGGUAUGAUUGACGCUGAGGCACGAAAGCGUGGGGAUCAAACAGGAUUAGAUACCCUGGUAGUCCACGCCCUAAACGAUGAACACUCGAUGUUGGCGAUAUACGGUCAGCGUCAAAGCGAAAGCGUUAAGUGUUCCACCUGGGGAGUACGCCCGCAAGGGUGC